CAUAAAUAUUCGUGAUGAAAAAAACGAGCACCCGCAUGAGAGAGGGGGUACCGCACUCAUCUUAGUCAUAAACCAACAGACUAAGAUUUUUUUUUUUGGGUAAAAAAAGAAAAAAAUAUAAGAAAAAAGAAAAACAAAAUAGACCAGAAGUUGAAGCAGUUAGCAGAAAGGCAGAGUAGGGGCUUGUUUGCUGGAGGGGCUCCGGCCACUAUCCCUCCGCUGACUCCCUCUCUGACGGCCAGCACCCCUCGGUCCUCUCUCGGCCGCCGGUCCAUUUCCGUGUCUGACAUUGUUCGUCCCAGUCCACUGCUGCCGUUCCGUUCGACCCAAGCAUCUCGACGGCGUCCCCCGCCGUGAAUCGUCACCGCAGCGUCCUUCUCCGGCGUCUCGGCUUCAGCUGCUGUCUCUUCUGGUCCUUUCAUCCGCUCAACUUUUGUCUCAUUCCGCUGCGCUCCUCAGCCUUUCCCUCACUCUCUGCCAGGUGAAGCACAGGCCGGGACCCAUCCUCUCUGUCUUUGCCUCGAGCGUUUGAUCAGCGCUUCGAUCAGUAUAACCGCCUCGUCCUUUUACUUCAAAGUCUGAUUCCGGUCGUCGUAACUCGUCAUUGAUGUUUUCACUUGCUGGAGAGCAUGCCUAGAGUAGAUUGCGGGAUUGCAUUAUUGCUGCCGAUGCUGAUGCUGCUUUGCUUUGUCAAUAUGAUUAUGGUUUUGAAUAAUGUUUAGGAUCAUGUUUCGAGUCCAUUUUGCUGCCAUGGAAGAUUUGCAUUAAACGUUGAGUUCAUCAUUCCACUUGUUAGGGAAGUAAAUCCCUGAUUUGCUGGCAAUUUUAUCCCGACUUUCUUGUUUUCUUCCUUAUUUAUUGUAAUUAGCCAGCUGUACAUUAUUCGUUCCUUUGAAGUUACCGUAGGCAGGCCGAUGUACAUAUGACACAGCUUUGUAUACAAGCAAUCAAGAGAAUGAGAAUACGUUAACUCUCCAAAUUUAUUAUGGUAUCAGAGCAAAAGCGUUUCUGAGACCUAAAAGAGGGCGAGACAAUGAGCAACAACAAAGGAAGAUGAUUGAUGUCACUUUCUCCUUAUCUUCUGAGCACGUCUGAUGGCACAGGAGCUGUCCUGGUGACUUGCAAGCUCACAAACAUGAGUUAUUCAACCUGGCCUAGGGCCAUGUUGAAUGCUUUACAGGCCAAGAACAAAAUUGGCUUUAUUGAUGGGAGUCUGCAUAAGCCUGAAGAGACAGCAGAGGACUUGGGAGCAUGCAAGAUCUGUAAUGCUACUGUGGUCACCUAGAUCUUUAACUCAUUAAAUACAAGUCUGCCAGCCAGUGUUGCCUAUGUAGAGGAGGCCAAGGCACUCUGGGAUGACCUAAAGCAGCGUUUUUCACAAGGGAAUGCGAUGACGUUCAGCAAAUCAAGGCUGAACUCAGUGUUUUGGCAAGAAGGGCUCACAGGUGGGAAAUAUUACACGGCAUUGAAGGGCUUAUCAGAUAAAUUAGCUGAUUACUCGCCAAUUCCAAAGUGCACAAGUGCUGUAACGACUGAGUUUGUGAAGCGGAGAGAAGAGGAGAGGAUGCAUCAAUUCCUAAUGGGAUUGAAUAUGGAGACGUUUGGGACAAUGCAUUCUCAGAUCCUGACCUAUGAUCCCUUACCAUCGACGGGAAAGGUCUACAACAAUGUGAUUCUAGAAGAAAGCAGAAGAUGGUUGCGAAGGGUCAGGAUAAAUGUCAACAUGGAUGGUGCUGUCCUUGUAGCAAUGGGCAGUGAUCGAACGAGAAAGAAGACUUGCAGCUAUUGUGGGAACGCUGGUCAUGAACGAGCUGAAUGCUAUCGCCUGAUGACCUGCAGCUAUUGUGAAAAGACUGGACACAAGAGAGCUGACUGUUAUCACUUCAAUGGGUAUCCAGUAGAUUGGGAAGCAAGAAGGAAUGGCUCUGGGAGAAAGGACACGGCUCAACAAUCCACUGGCAGGAAUAGAGGGUGGAUCAAAGGCGAGUCAAGCAGGAUUGGGAAGGGACAGUCUUAGCCUGGAGGUUCGAACUGGGGAGCAUAGCCAGGACCUCAGAAGGAUGGACAGUAGAAAAUAGGUUAUCUGGUCAAUGAUAAUCCCUUUGAAGGAUCGUGGAAAAGGGGAGCAACAACUGCUCUUACAAAUGAUCAAGUUCAGCAGGUUCAACAGUUGUUAACUCUGUUACUGUUGACUCACAAAACUAAUUCCGAGCAAUUGGCUGAUUUUUGUGGGAUGCAGGACCGAACCGAGAGGAAGGUGAUUGGAGUGGCUAGGCUGCACGUGGGUCUAUAUCGAUUCGGGUGUGUGGCAUCUCAUUUGGCAUUGGCAACUUUCGAGAAGUGGGAUUUCGAGAGAUGGCUGAUUUAAGCAUUUGAUAUCUCAUAAUUUAUGACUCGCUAUUUUGUGGUGCCCACUGCUCAAACCAAACUGGAAACAUGUGAUUAGAGUACUACAGUUGAAAUUAACCAGCUAAUCUAGAGAAAGUAAAUUUUAAUCCAA